rnacentral:rRNA from 1 species
ACAUGCCUACAACAUAGCAUUAAUGCACCGAAUCCCAUUAGAACUCCGCAGUGAAGCAAACUUGGGAUAAAAUAGUACUGGGAUGGGUGACCACCUAGGAAGUUCUAGUAUUUUACAUCCC